rnacentral:tRNA from 1 species
GGAGGUGUGGCCGAGUGGUCGAAGGCAACGGUCUUGAAAACCGUCGAGCGAAAGCUCCGUAGGUUCGAAUCCUACCGCCUCCGCCA